rnacentral:rRNA from 1 species
GCCAGACUCCUACGGGAGGCAGCAGUGGGGAAUAUUGCACAAUGGGGGAAACCCUGAUGCAGCGACGCCGCGUGAGUGAAGAAGUAUUUCGGUAUGUAAAGCUCUAUCAGCAGGGAAGAAAAUGACGGUACCUGAUUAAGAAGCCCCGGCUAACUACGUGCCAGCAGCCGCGGUAAUACGUAGGGGGCAAGCGUUAUCCGGAUUUACUGGGUGUAAAGGGAGCGUAGACGGUGAUGCAAGUCAGAAGUGAAAGCCCGGGGCUCAACUCCGGGACUGCUUUUGAAACUGUGUGACUGGAGUGCAGGAGAGGUAAGCGGAAUUCCUGGUGUAGCGGUGAAAUGCGUAGAUAUCAGGAGGAACACCAGUGGCGAAGGCGGCUUACUGGACUGUAACUGACGUUGAGGCUCGAAAGCGUGGGGAGCAAACAGGAUUAGAUACCCCAGUACAA